GAUGAACGCUGGCGGCGUGCCUAAUACAUGCAAGUCGAGCGAAUGGAUUAAGAGCUUGCUCUUAUGAAGUUAGCGGCGGACGGGUGAGUAACACGUGGGUAACCUGCCCAUAAGACUGGGAUAACUCCGGGAAACCGGGGCUAAUACCGGAUAACAUUUUGAACCGCAUGGUUCGAAAUUGAAAGGCGGCUUCGGCUGUCUCGUAUGGAUGGACCCGCGUCACAUGAGCUAGAUGGUGAGGUAACGGCUCACCAAGGCAACGAUGCGUAGCCGACCUGAGAGGGUGAUCGGCCACACUGGGACUGAGACACGGCCCAGACUCCUACGGGAGGCAGCAGUAGGGAAUCUUCCGCAAUGGACGAAAGUCUGACGGAGCAACGCCGCGGGAGUGAUGAAGGCUUUCGGGUCGUAAAACUCUGUUGUUAGGGAAGAACAAGUGCUAGUUGAAUAAGCUGACACCUUGACGGUACCUAACCAGAAAGCCACGGCUAACUACGUGCCAGCCGCCGCAGUAA
rnacentral:rRNA from 1 species